rnacentral:rRNA from 1 species
GUGACGGCGCGAGCAGGUGCGAAAGCAGGUCAUAGUGAUCCGGUGGUUCUGAAUGGAAGGGCCAUCGCUCAACGGAUAAAAGGUACUCCGGGGAUAACAGGCUGAUACCGCCCAAGAGUUCAUAUCGACGGCGGUGUUUGGCACCUCGAUGUCGGCUCAUCACAUCCUGGGGCUGAAGUAGGUCCCAAGGGUAUGGCUGUUCGCCAUUUAAAGUGGUACGCGAGCUGGGUUUAGAACGUCGUGAGACAGUUCGGUCCCUAUCUGCCGUGGGCGCUGGAGAACUGAGGGGGGCUGCUCCUAGUACGAGAGGACCGGAGUGGACGCAUCACUGGUGUUCGGGUUGUCAUGCCAAUGGCACUGCCCGGUAGCUAAAUGCGGAAGAGAUAAGUGCUGAAAGCAUCUAAGCACGAAACUUGCCCCGAGAUGAGUUCUCCCUGAGACUUUAGGUCUCCUGAAGGAACGUUGAAGACGACGACGUUGAUAGGCCGGGUGUGUAAGCGCAGCGAUGCGUUGAGCUAACCGGUACUAAUGAACCGUGAGGCUUAACCUU